GAUGAACGCUAGCGGGAGGCCUAACACAUGCAAGCCGAGCGGUAUUUCUUCUUCGGGAGAGAGAGAGCGGCGUACGGGUGCGGAACACGUGUGCAACCUGCCUUUAUCUAGAGGAUAGCCUUUCGAAAGGAAGAUUAAUACUCUAUAAUAUAUUAAUUGGCAUCAAUUGAUAUUGAAAACUCCGGUGGAUAGAGAUGGGCACGCGCAAGAUUAGCUAGUUGGUGAGGUAACGGCUCACCAAGGCAAUGAUCUUUAGGGGGCCUGAGAGGGUGAUCCCCCACACUGGUACUGAGACACGGACCAGAAUCCUACGGGAGGCAGCAGUAAGGAAUAUUGGUCAAUGGGUGCAAGGCUGAACCAGCCAUCCCGCGUGAAGGAUUAAGGUCCUAUGGAUUGUAAACUUCUUUUGUAUAGGGAUAAACCUACCCUCGUGAGGGUAGCUGAAGGUACUAUACGAAUAAGCACCGGCUAACUCCGUGCCAGCAGCCGCGGUAA
rnacentral:rRNA from 1 species